AUCUUUUUAAUUACUUUAAAAAGUAAAAAUAUAUAAAUAAUUUUUUUUUUUCAAAAGGUGUGGGUUUUAAAUACGUGCGCGAUUCGCGCCGAAAAUUUGAUAAUGAUCCUUCCGCAGGUUCACCUACGGAAA
rnacentral:misc_RNA from 1 species